rnacentral:rRNA from 1 species
CUACGGGGUGCUCCAGUGGGGAAUAUUGCACAAUGGAGGAAACUCUGAUGCAGCAACGCCGCGUGGAGGAUGACACUUUUCGGAGCGUAAACUCCUUUUAUAUAGGAAGAAGAUGACGGUACUAUAUGAAUAAGCGCCGGCUAACUCCGUGCCAGCAGCCGCGGUAAUACGGAGGGCGCAAGCGUUACUCGGAAUCACUGGGCGUAAAGAGCGUGUAGGCGGAUUAAAAAGUCAGAAGUGAAAUCCUAUAGCUUAACUUUAGAACUGCUUCUGAAACUCUUAAUCUAGAAUAUGGGAGAGGUAGAUGGAAUUUCUGGUGUAGGGGUAAAAUCCGUAGAGAUCAGAAGGAAUACCGAUUGCGAAGGCGAUCUACUAGAACAUUAUUGACGCUGAGACGCGAAAGCGUGGGGAGCAAACAGGAUUAGAUACCCGAGUAGUC